ACUGGACCACGGCACCAGCAGCGUUCAGCAUUAUAAAAAGGUACAGCAGAAAAUCUACAAACUCAUCUCUGUCCAGAGGUGACUGUGAGCAGAACUCAGAACCUUAUGUGCACAGUGUCGCUCCUAAUUUAGCGCAGUGGACAGAUGUGAAGUUACACAACCAAGCAGCUCAACGUUUUAGUUUAAACUAAACUGAAACUGACUCUCACUCACUCCUUUCUUUGAAACUACUUUACUUUGAAGGUCAGAGUGAACCCACAGCGGAACGGUUUUUUUUUUGGAGCGGACCGACGCUGGUUCUGCUCCACUUUAGGACCAGCGGUCCCGUUUAAACUUCAGUUCUUAGCGUCAACAACCAGCUGAGGCAGUGACGUUGUCUGCGUGGGGCCCGGGACGUCGCUCAUGCAGUCUGACCUCCAUGAGCUCUGAGCGGAGCUCGUCCGGACGCGGGUCCCGCCGCGUCCGCACCAACAGGUGGACGCGGCGGGACGCCGCUAACGCAGGAGCCUGGCGCUCAGCGAACGCAGCCUCCUCGUGCUAGUUUGUGCGCUAAUUCUGGGCUGUCGUGUGUUUGUCUGCCUCUGACCGCCGCCUCCUGUGAUCGGGCUCCGAUAAGUGCUGACACGCACCGACCUCAUGUCCCGGAGCCAGGCGGCGGCUCCGUUAGCAGCCGCUCCGCUUGAACGCUCACCUGAACGCAGGCGUCGAGCGUCCGACGUCAAACUUCGCUUCGUUGUUGUUGUCGAAAGACGCACACUACGUCACCGGCCAAGACCCGUCGACGGUGGAUGACGUGAGCAGGCGCGUGGCCUCUUGGGACUUGUAGUUACCUUAGGGCCACAUGUCGACUUAGACUUUCAGAAAACGCUUUUUUUCCUAAAGAGUGAGGUCUUAAAGCUGUAAACUGGCGAUAUAAAGAUCAAAUUGUUCACAUCUACAACAGUGAAUACAAUAUUACAAGUAAAAAAACUGAACAAUGUCGCAGUGCAAUGAGUUUUUCAUCUAGUCACUCUAGUCCUGGAUAAAAACUGUCCUAAGUGAAACUGUCAGAUCAGACU